UAUAAAAAGUUUUAAUUAAAAGGAUAUAUUUUGCAUGUCAAAAACUUAUAGCUACCAUGGUUUAGGACAAUUUAGCUAAUAAAAAAGUCUCAGUUUCUCAUAGUCAGAAGCUGAUUCUACCUGAUAUCAAUACAGUAUUUUCGACUGUAAAAACUGCUGAAGAGAACACUCCUAGGCAACCCCAGCCAAUUCUAUUCAAGGUCAUCUGACUAAAUGCAAGCCUUGUCAGCUCAAGUGAAGUUUAUCAGAUGGAAUUCCUGGAGCAUCCUGCACUAACAAAAUGUAUUACUAAACUUUCAAUGUUAAAAAAAAAAUCCCAAUCUUCAUUAGAUGACACCUGCAUGAAAACUAUGGACAAAACAUGGGAUCAAGAGCUGAAGUCAGCAGGAAGGGAGGCGAGACACAAACAAGAGAAUUGCAAAAGCAAAAGACCAUGUCUAUGAGCAUCCACUUUUCCAUGGGCCCUUGGAUGUAUUCUCAAGACAGAUUGUGCGGUCACACAGCUGUUGCAGCCCCUUGCUCUGAAGAGUAGCAAGUCUCAGCAGAUCACAGAUCUUAACCCCAUGACAGGCCAACCUAUUUAUGCUGGCUGCUAAUAAUGACUUGUGUUUAUAAUGGUGCUAUUCAUCCCAGAAGCUUGCUCACAGCACUCCACUGACCACAUGGGUGCUCUUUAUUCGGGCCUAUGUCUAUGUACACCCACAUAUCACAAGUGUACAAAGGUCUUGACUGCUGUGGCUUUAAUCAGCCCUUUCUUCCUUUUACUUAGCUUCAGGGCCUGAUCCCUGGGAUUAGGGAAACCAGUGCACCCUCCUCUUUAUCACUGGAAAAAACCAGAAUUGAACAAUUGGGAGUCCAGCUCCCUAUUCACUUUGUUGCUUAUUAGGGUCUCUGUGUAUCAGCCGUGAUGCUGCAAAGCAAGUUGAGAGAGGCCUUGUGCAAUACAUAUUUAAUAGUGGGAACUCUCCUCCCAUUUUAUCUCUUCCCCUUCUCUCCUUCCAUUUAAUGAACCAAUUAUUCUGACAAGGAGGAGAAUGCUCUCUUCCUAGCUCCCUCUCACUUUGAGCCUUUAUUCCCUGCUUCUCUAAAGUGCUGCCUAAUUUGGCAUAAGACCCUAUUGUAGGUUAUUUUUACAUUCACCAUGAAUUGUGUAAAAUUGUUUCAGCACUUUGGAAAUUUUUCUUUUAAAGCAGGAGAUAUUAUUUUAGCCAUGAAUGACAGAUAAAAUGUGAUGGUAAGAGAUUGUCCAAACUUGCAUACUCUCAAUUGCAUUCAUUUUAUUUAAUAUUACAAGUUUGUUUUCUAUAACAGAUCAAACAAAAAAAAAGAGAGAACAUAGAAAUGGAUUCCAACUUCUGUUUUUGAUGAAAUGAUUAAAAUGCAGCAGAUCUAGGGUUUUUACUGAAGAUUUUGUAGUUAUUCAUUAUUCAUGAUGAUGCAUGA
rnacentral:lncRNA from 1 species